rnacentral:rRNA from 1 species
UACGGGGGGUGCGAGCGUUGUCCGGAAUCACUGGGCGUAAAGGGCGCGUAGGUGGUUUGAUAAGGGUGUGGUGAAAGCCCGGGGCUCAACCCCGGGUCUGCCGUGCCGACUGUCAAACUCGAGGGCUGUAGAGGCAGACGGAAUUCCGGGUGUAGCGGUGGAAUGCGUAGAGAUCCGGAGGAAGACCGGUGGCGAAGGCGGUCUGCUGGGCAGUUUCUGACACUGAUGCGCGACAGCGUGGGGAGCGAACCGG